rnacentral:rRNA from 1 species
GAAAUCGGGAGGAACACCAGUGGCGUAGGUGGACACGUGGGCGGAUAUUGACGUUGAGGUGGGAAAGCGUGUGGAGCAAACAGAAUUAGAUACCUUGGUAGUACACGCAGUAAACGAUGAGUGCUGGGCGUUGGGGGUAUUGACCCCUCCAGUGCCGAAGCUAACGCGUUAAGCACUCCGCGGGGGGAGUACGGCCGCAAGGCUAAAACUCAAAGGAAUUGACGGGGGCCCGCACAAGCGGUGGAGCUUGUGGUUUAAUUCGACGCAACGCGAAGAACCUUACCUGGGUUAAAUCCGCCGGGACCUGGCAGAGAAGUCGGGGUGCCCUUCGGGGAGCCGGUGAGAAGGUGCUGCAUGGCUGUCGUCAGCUCGUGUCGUGAGAUGUUGGGUUAAGUCCCGCAACGAGCGCAACCCUUGUUGUUAGUUGCUAGCAGUUCGGAUGAUCACUCUAACGAGACUGCCGACGUGAUGUCGGAGGAAGGUGGGGAUGACGUCAAGUCCUCAUGGCCUUUAUGCCCAGGGCUACACACGUGCUACAAUGGCCGGUACAAAGGGUUGCAAGCUCGUGAGAGUGAGCUAAUCUCAAAAAACCGGUCUCAGUUCGGAUUGAAGUUUGCAACUCGACUUCAUGAAGUUGGAAUCGCUAGUAAUCGCGGAUCAGCACGCCGCGGUGAAUUCGUUCCCGGGCGUUGUACACACCGCCCGUCACACCAUGGGAGUUAGUUGCUCCAGAAAUGGGUGGGCUAACCCGAAAGGGAAGCAGGUCCUUAAGGAGUGACUAGUAACUGGGGUGAAGUCGUAACAAGGUAACC